rnacentral:rRNA from 1 species
AGUGAACGCUGGCGGUAGGCCUAACACAUGCAAGUCGAACGGCAGCACAGUAAGAGCUUGCUCUUACGGGUGGCGAGUGGCGGACGGGUGAGGAAUACAUCGGAAUCUACUUUUUCGUGGGGGUUAACGUAGGGAAACUUACGCUAAUACCGCAUACGACCUACGGGUGAAAGCAGGGGAUCUUCGGACCUUGCGCGAUUGAAUGAGCCGAUGUCGGAUUAGCUAGUUGGCGGGGUAAAGGCCCACCAAGGCGACGAUCCGUAGCUGGUCUGAGAGGAUGAUCAGCCACACUGGAACUGAGACACGGUCCAGACUCCUACGGGAGGCAGCAGUGGGGAAUAUUGGACAAUGGGCGCAAGCAUGAUCCAGCCAUACCGCGUGGGUGAAGAAGGCCUUCGGGUUGUAAAGCCCUUUUGUUGGGAAAGAAAAGCAGCAGGUUAAUACCCCGCUGUUCUGACGGUACCCAAAGAAUAAGCACCGGCUAACUUCGUG